rnacentral:rRNA from 1 species
AAUACAUGCAAGUCGAGCGGAUUGAUGGGAGCUUGCUCCCUGAAGUCAGCGGCGGACGGGUGAGUAACACGUGGGUAACCUGCCUGUAAGACUGGGAUAACUCCGGGAAACCGGGGCUAAUACCGGAUAGUUCUUUUCCUCGCAUGAGGAAAAGUGGAAAGGCGGCUUCGGCUGCCACUUACAGAUGGACCCGCGGCGCAUUAGCUAGUUGGUGAGGUAACGGCUCACCAAGGCAACGAUGCGUAGCCGACCUGAGAGGGUGAUCGGCCACACUGGGACUGAGACACGGCCCAGACUCCUACGGGAGGCAGCAGUAGGGAAUCUUCCGCAAUGGACGAAAGUCUGACGGAGCAACGCCGCGUGAGUGAUGAAGGUUUUCGGAUCGUAAAGCUCUGUUGUUAGGGAAGAACAAGUGCCGUUCGAAUAGGGCGGCGCCUUGACGGUACCUAACCAGAAAGCCACGGCUAACUACGUGCCAGCAGCCGCGGUAAUACGUAGGUGGCAAGCGUUGUCCGGAAUUAUUGGGCGUAAAGCGCGCGCARGCGGUCUCUUAAGUCUGAUGUGAAAGCCCACGGCUCAACCGUGGAGGGUCAUUGGAAACUGGGGGACUUGAGUACAGAAGAGGAAAGUGGAAUUCCACGUGUAGCGGUGAAAUGCGUAGAUAUGUGGAGGAACACCAGUGGCGAAGCGACUUUCUGGUCUGUAACUGACGCUGAGCGCGAAGCGUGGGGAGCAAACAGGAUUAGAUACCCUG